UCAAUGACGUCGAGUUUUUGCAAACGUACAACAAAGACUACACAAUUCCUAUUUUUUGUUAUUAAUUUUCGACAUUAGAAAUAAUCCAUGCAUUUAAAUGACGAGGGUCGAGACGCAUUUCGGUGAUCAAAAGUCGUUUAUUAAUUGGUCAUUGGCCUGACGUGCCUGCAACAACAAAAGCAUUGGCGGUAUUAUAACGAGGUCGUUUUGUUGGUUCCUGUUGACCGAUUAUAUAAUAUAUUAUUUAGAAAUAUCUUAAAGGCUGCAUCACCCAUCAUGUAUGUCAAUUAGAAAGCAAUUCAAUUGUUUGUAAAGCAAUCCUAAUCGAAAACUUCGUGUUUGUGUGUGUGGGAUAGAGGCGAUAACCCAACCAACCAAUGACGUAAUGAUUCCCGGCACGUGCGCUCGGUCUCGAGUCUGCCUCCAAUCUUAGAAUCGAUGCGGGAGUAUAUUUGGGAUGAAGCGCUGCUAAAUCCAGCGCUACACAACGCGUCCGCGCUUCAAUGGGUUUUGUUGACUUUGUUUUCCUCUGUUGUCAUCCUCUAUCUCCCUGCUCAUUCUCUCAACCCCCCCUCCCUCCCUCGUCUCUCUCGAGCCUCACUGUAUCUCUCUCUCUCCCUCUCUCUCUCUCUAGCAUCUCGCUCUAUUCCUCUUUCUGGCUCUCUAGCAUAAAGUCCCUGUUCAGUUCUUGGCGUUCCUUCCUCCUGCUUGCCGCAGUCUUUUUAUCGAGCCGUGUGUCCGCAUCGAGUCAGUGUUGCGGGCUCUUGGGUGGAUGUGAUUGAGGCCGGUGGAGGAACAAUCUGACCCGCCGAGAUGACCACCGUGGCCCCGACGCACCACGAGGGGACAGUGCUGACGCCUCCCCAAGUGCGCCACCUGACCAAUAGGAACCCGUCCCCGUCCCGAGCCUUGGCCAGUCCUGGCAGCACUCCGCCAGCAGAGCUGUCGGAGCUCCUGCGUGACAAGGAGCGGCGUGCCGAGCAGCAGCGCGGCCGCUGCGUGGAGGAGCGGGAGAGGAGGCUGGAGGAGCAGCGGAGGAAGGAGGCCAGGCGCCGCGCCGCCGCCGAGGAGAAGAGGAGGCUGCAGCAGGAGGAGGAGAAGGAGCGGCUGGAGGCGCUGGUCCGCCGGCGGGCGGGGGGCGCGGCGGACAAGAGGGGCCGCGGCGCCGGGGAGGCCGGCCGGGACCCCCCGGAGAACCGGCCAAGAGAUGACCUGGGGGGGACCCCCGGACGGAGCCGAGGGUACCCCUAAGACCCUGCCUUGCCCUGCCAUUGGUUCUGCUCAGCCCAAUGAGCUUCCUGCUGCUUCCAGAGCCAACCAAUCCCGCAACGUAAAUGACUUCCUGACUCCAACCACUCCUGAUCAACCAAUCAACAAGCGGCUUUCCAACUCCUCUGCAGCCAUCCAUUCACCCGAGAGAGGUGAGAGAGGUGAGAGAG